AACAAGUUCAUAAUCUGUCAUGUUUUGACGAAUUUAUUCAAGGUAACUAGAAAUCUUCUAAAUUCUUGAAAACAAUCCUGAAGGUUCAUUUGUGAGUCUAUUGCAUCGUGUUAAAUUUUCAGAAAAUAACUCGAAGUGUUCUGGCCUACAAAAUUCGUGGACUGAACUGGUGUCUGAUUCGCGUCUGUGCAGACAGCACAGACACGUGUUGGAAAAAUGGGCAUAACUUCUUGUUCGGGUGUCGGUUUUACACACUGUUUCUUGAUUCUAAAACUAGACUUACAUACCUUUCUGAACAUGUAAGGUUUGUGCCUUAGUUACUUCUAGGAAAACUCAGUUUCGGUUCUGAAGUUAAUGGUUUGUUAACUCUGGAAAUCUGGGCAGGUUUUGGAGCUAUGUUAUUCAUCGAUGUUGUCAUAGUUAAAUGUACUUAUUGGCUAUGGGUUCUCAUGAGUCUUAAACACUGAUCAAUUGGUGAUGUUUUGGUGUUAGAAUUAAUGGAAAAGAUUGAGUAUGUGAUUUUUAAUGAGCAUUCGAUCACAGGCUGUUCUGCAGAAACUACAGAGUUGUGUUUUUAAGUGUGCAUCUUUGGACAGUCGUAACUUUGUCAUUCGAAAUCUAUUUAGGACAAACUCUAUAUCGAUAUUGGUGUACUGAAAGUCUACUUUCUAAUGGUGGUGGUUUCAUGACCCAACUUUGAUCCUAUAAAAUGCUACAGUCUUUUAAAGACAGGCUGGUUGUAGGAUGUCUUGUUAUUUUGGGAGUGUUGUUGUGUUUGAACUUCAUGUGUGUUAUUCUUUGGCCAUUGUUUAGUUCCUUAUGAGCUUAUUAUUCUUGUGUUGAUCGUUCGUUGAACUUAUUACUAAUACGGUUAAACGUGUGGUUAUGUAACGAGCUGAGUAAUCGGGAGGUGCCAAAACCGUAAGUUGGCAUACUUCGGUCGACUCACAGAUAGCAGGGGUUUGUAGGAUGGUCCACUACCAGUUGGCGUUUUGGGGUUGGCUUUGAGGAUGUUGAUUGUGUCGGUGGUAGUGAGUUGUCAUGUAUAUAUAAUCGACUCAUUUUGUAAAGGAUGUUUUGCACUUUAGUUUGCCAAGUAUGUAAAGUUAUGGGUAUAACGUCGACUCUUUUAAUAAUAUUAAUGUUAAGUCUUCCGCUGGUUUAUUCUGAGUUAA